rnacentral:ncRNA from 1 species
AAUUUAUAAAGAAGAGGCGAGAGACUAGGCUCUAUGACCCUCUGGCAACCUCCAAAGUGGUAAGGUGCCAAUUCCUAUCCCGGUCAGGCCGGGGCAUAUAAAUU